UACGUAGGGUGCAAGCGUUGUCCGGAAUUAUUGGGCGUAAAGAGCUCGUAGGCGGUCUGUUGCGUCGGCUGUGAAAACUCGGGGCUUAACCCCGGGCCUGCAGUGGGUACGGGCAGACUAGAGUGCGGUAGGGGAGACUGGAAUUCCUGGUGUAGCGGUGAAAUGCGCAGAUAUCAGGAGGAACACCGGUGGCGAAGGCGGGUCUCUGGGCCUUACCUGACGCUGAGGCGCGAAAGCUAGGGGAGCGAACAGG
rnacentral:rRNA from 1 species